AAGAAUGGAAAAGGACAAUUUACCUCUCGCCAACCAGAUCGUAUUUCCUCAAUAUCGGUGAUUUUUCAUCUUCAGAGAACUCAUUUUGAGAUUCUUUACCAAUUUCAGCAACAAAGCGACUCAAUUUUUAAAGAGCAUAUUAUAUCAUCUGGAAAAUAUCUAUAAAUUUAGAGAAUGAAAAUUUUGAAAUACUCCAACAUGCUCUUUAUAUUUGACACAUAAUUUAAAGUCUCUUGGAAAUGCUCUAGGGCUAUUGUUUUCAUUCGACAAAGUGUAGAAUCUUGAUAUACUUGUAUACAUAUCCCAUAGAGAAUUUCAAUUUAAAUAUUUUUUUCUUUUAAACUCAUCUCAUUAAAAUUCAAUCUUAUUUUAAAAAGUAGACAAUUGAGUCAACUAUCACCAUUAAAAUUUGAAAUAUAAAGUACUAAAAUGCACUAAUAUAUUUUGCCAAAAGAAAAAGGAAAAAUGAAAUUGGCUAUGAAGUACCCUCACUGCAAUUUGGUUAUGGAGAAAAAUUCCAUGUUCCUUAUAUGUUGUUUAGAGCUUGUUUGGUUUAGAUUUUAAGUCAAUUAAAAACAAUUUUUUCACUAUUAUUGCAUUAUUCCAGCCGUCAUUUUUUAAUUCUUCUCUCACGGGUAGGACCCAUUUUUUUCUAACGGUCAAAAAAAUCAAUUAUUAAAAUCUCCAUCAAACAAGCACUUAGUAAAUUGAUAUUUAAUUGAUAUAAUAUUUCUUCUUGAUCAAAACCGACAUCUUUUCGGUUUUCCACAAAAGAUUCAACCGUCAUCACCUUUCUUGGUUGUGCUAAAAUGAAAAACGUAAUUUUGUCAAUCUUUCAAAAAAAUCAAGAAAGACAAAAUUCCCAUUAUUAGAAUUGUAUGUAGGAAUUGUAUGCAAAAGUGUUGAACCGUGUAGUCUUAUUUUCGAUUGGUUAGUUUCCUUGUUAGUUGGCUCAGCUGGUUCCAAGUUGUCGUGCUGUUAUCCAGCUGGCAUAUAUUUUUGGUGCCAACUUUAAAUGCUAUUUAUACAUCUUUGUACAUACGCUUUUCACUGAAUAGAUGAUCAAUGAAAUUCAGUUCACUCCUCCAUUCGUCUCUAAUAUGGUAUCAGAGCAAAUAUAUAUAAUCUGAUCAUCUUUCUCAUUCAUAUUCUGGAUCAAACAAUCAGACUACACGGUUCUACACUUUUGCAUACAGUUCCUACAUACGAUUCUAAUACCCAUAAUAAAUAGAAAGGAGAAUUACUUGAUCAUCUCAAAUUUGUAAAAUUAAACAGUAGAAUUACCUGAUCAGAAAGCGGAACUAGGCUCUUGUGAAAUCGAAUAAUGAAAGUAGUUUCCAGAGAGAG
rnacentral:lncRNA from 1 species